AGAAAAGAAAAGAAGAAAGAAGGGGAAAAAAAAGAAAGAACAGAGAGGGGUGAAACGAAAACGGAGAAGGAAAAAGGAGGGAGAGAGAACGAUGGUGAAGAAGAGAAAGAAGCGGAGAAGAAGAGUUUGAAGAAAUUUGUUUUAAAAGCAGCGGUACGGAGUUAUGGAUUCAUAGUUUGUAUGGUCAACUUGAGUGGAGAAUUUCAUGCGCCUGCACGGGAACCGAAAUUCCACGAAGGUCACACUACUCAGUCUCCGAUCUAAUCCUAAAAGGUAAAGCCCGGGUAGGAGGCUUGUGAAUAUGUGUGAGAUGCAUGGUGAUGCAAAAUAAAAUAAUAAUACAAUUAAAUGAAGAAAAAAAAACAAACAAAAAAUGGACCCAAAAACAUAUUACAAUAGGGUAAUAAAUGACAAACUAAAUGGCUUGACUCUCAAA